rnacentral:rRNA from 1 species
GACGAACGCUGGCGGCGUGCUUAACACAUGCAAGUCGAACGGACAGGCCCUGCUUUUGUGGGUUGCUCGAGUGGCGCACGGGUGAGUAACACGUGAGUAACCUGCCCUUGACUUUGGGAUAACUUCAGGAAACUGGGGCUCAUACCGGAUAUGAGCUCCUGCUGCAUGGUGUUGGUUGGAAAGUUUCGGCGGUUGGGGAUGUACUCGAGGCUUAUCAGCUUGUUGGUCGGGUAGUGGCUUACCAAGGCUUUGACGGGUAGCCGGCCUGAGAGGGUGACCGGGCACAUGGCGACUGAGAGACGGAGCAGAAGCGUAUGGGAGGCAGUGGGGGAGAAUAUGGCAGAAUGGGGGGGAGUCUGAGACAGAAAUGUCGCGUGCGGGAUGACGGGUUUUGGGGUGAAAACAGAUGUGGAAGGUGACGAAGAGGGAGUGACGGUAAUGGGUAAAGAAGCACCGGCUAACUACGUG